rnacentral:rRNA from 1 species
UCCCUAUCCUUUACUUGUAAAGGGUAGCCAGUGAUGUUACACUUCCAAGAAAAGCUUGUACUCCAUUAAACAAUAGAAUCACCUGUACCUUAAACCGACACAGGUAGGUUGGUAGAGAAUACCAAGGGGCGCGAGAGAACUCUCUCUAAGGAACUCGGCAAACUGGCCCCGUAACUUCGGAAGAAGGGGCGCCUUUUUUUUAAAAAGGUUGCAGUGAUCCGGCCCAGGCGACUGUUUAUCAAAAACACAGGUCUCCGCAUAGUCGUAAGACAAUAUAUGGGGGCUGACGCCUGCCCAGUGCUGGAAGGUUAAGGAAGUUGGUUAUACUCUUUGGGUAGAAGCUGACGACCGAAGCCCCAGUGAACGGCGGUCGUAACUAUAACGAUCCUAAGGUAGCGAAAUUCAUUGCCGAGUAAGUUUCGGCCUGCACGAAUGGCGUAACGAUCUGGGCACUGUCUCAGAGAGAGACUCGGUGAAAUAGACUUGUCCCGUGAAGAUGCGGACUACCUGCACCUGGACAGAAAGACCCUAUGAAGCUUGACUGUAUCCUGGAAUUGGGUUCGGGCUUUUCUUGCGCAGCCUAGGUGGGAGGCUAUGAGGGUUCCCUUCCGGGGGAAUCGGAGCCAACAUUGAGAGACCACUCUGGAAAGGCUAGAAUCCUAAUGGUGUUCUUUGAAUCAAGACACUUGACAGUUUCAGGUGGGCAGUUUAUCUGGGGCGGAUGCCUCAUAAAGCGUAACUGAGGCGUGCAAAGGUUCCUUCAGCCUGGACGGAAAUCAGGCCUUGAGUGUAAAGGCAAAAAGGAGCUUGACUGCAAGACCUACAAAUCGAGCAGGGGCGAAAGCCGGCCUUAGUGAUCCGACGAUGCCGUGUGGAAGGGUCGUCGCUCAACGGACAAAAGUUACUCUAGGGAUAACAGGCUGAUCUUCCCCAAGAGUUCACAUCGACGGGAAGGUUUGGCACCUCGAUGUCGGCUCAUCACAUCCUGGGGCGGUAGUACGUCCCAAGGGUUGGGCUGUUCGCCCAUUAAAGUGGUACGUGAGCUGGGUUCAAAACGUCGUGAGACAGUUUGGUCCAUAUCCGGUGUAGGCGUUAGAGUAUUGAGAAGAAGCUCCUUCUAGUACGAGAGGAUCGAAGAAGCCGAGUCCAUGGUAUACCAGUUAUCAUUCCAAUGGUAAACGCUGGGUAGCUACACUCGUCGUGAUAACCGCUGACAGCAUAUAAGUGGGAAGCACUCUUCAAGAUGAGUACUCUCCGAGGCCGCAAGAAGAUAACUUGUUUGAUAGGUAUCAGGUCGAAGGGUUGUAAAAUCUGUAGCCGAGAUAUACUAAAGGCCGAUC